rnacentral:antisense_RNA from 1 species
CACGCACGUGGAGGUUGGUUAAAGGGAAGACCUGGGUUUUAGUCCUGUCUCCAUCAACCUCAAGAAAUGGGACCUCAUGGAAGGGAGGGGAGGCAAUGCCGAGGAUGUGCUCCUGAGCAGGUGCCACAAUUCUUCACCUGUAAGGCUGAUCUAAGAAGAUUCCUAAUUAUCAAUUGAGAGCAGAGAUAUUCCACUUCCAAUUACAUGGCCCUGCCUGCUCACUCUUACUUCCUAUUCACACUCUCUUGGAGACCACUUUGUGAUUCUACCAAAUUCUAUAGGAGAGGUGACAACCCCAAAGAGAAGGCUCUAGAAAGAUGACAUUUGGAAAUGUGUACGCUAGUGUCUGCUGGCUCCUCCUGAGCCACUUUUACUCUGUGAUUGAGAUGAAAGGCCACCUAACUGCCUAAAUCACCACAAAGGGACAAACUGGUAUCUCAGAGCACUCAGCAACAAAAACAAGAAAGCUAAGCCUCUGCACUGCAAUGUGGCAGGGCUUCUGGCUAAGUAUAGCAAGCAAUUCUGAUGUGGAGACAAACAGCAGCAAUGGGAAUGAUAUGCCAAUGAAGGAUUCCAACAGUUGGGUCUGCAAGUGUGCUUGUCCUGUGACACAAACAGCCUAGACAUCUCAGCACUGCUUGGAGCUGCUCAUUGGGGGAGCCUAAGAAACAUCAGCCCUUUCACAACCUCUUGCUCCUGAGCAGAGCUCAUCUCCCAAGAGCACAUCAGCCCGCAGCCCAGUCUGAUGAGAAGCACAGUAUUCCCCUGUGCCAGUGGCAGCCUCAGAACAUCCUGAAAGAGCGCUUCCUAGACACGCAGUGGAAGCCAUGACUUCCCCUAAGCUGCCGGUGCUGCCUCUGAACUCAUGUGGAGGUUCUUUUUUCAGUGUCCCCAGAGGCAGCAGAAAAAUCCGUUUUCCAUUUUGGAAUCUAUCAAGUAGGACAAAUCUGCCACCUGGGAGCAUCUCCUCAAGGGCAAUCUCUGCUCCCUCUCCUACAUGGCCUGACAAUACCCUCGAGUUAGAAAUGUCCCAUGUUGGCUAGGCACAGUGGCUCAUGCCUGUAAUCCCAGCACUUUGGGAGGCUGAGGUGGGAGGAUUGCUUGAGGCCAGGAGUUUUGAGACCAGCCUGACAUAGAGAGACUAUGCCUCUAUUAUUUUAAAAAAAGAAAUGUCACAUAUUUUUACCCUCUUCACUCAUCUUUCCACCUUGCUCCAAUAGAUUGCUGACAGAAAAGUGAGACCUCCUCCACCCCAAGGUCUCCUAAGAGAAUGCUGCUAGCCAAAAAAAGAUCUGCUGAUAAUUGAGGAAGAGCAUCUUUAAAAAGACACUCAACUACAUUUCAGAAACAUAAAGAUCUAAGUGUUGGCUCUACAAGGGAAGAAAUAAAGAGAAAGAACUUUUUUUCCUCCUACAACAGGUCUAGACAACGUCAUACAAGGAGUUGCACGCAUAUUCAAAACAAAAGCAAGGCAAAAACAAGCAAAAAAGCAACAAAUGCAUUCCAAAAUGAUGUCCAUUUAUCAGCCCAGAAAUGUACUGGAUACUGGUUUAGUUCAGCCUGUAGGUGCUGGGAAGAAAUUCCGACAAAUCCAAGUCAGUAGCAAAAAGGGAAAACUCCAGACAUAUCACCCAAUGAACUUGUAAGAAAGCAUAUGAGCUUCCCUGAACAGAUUUUACUCCAGGUUUGCAGCCCGCAAGGUUUAAGAUCGGGCCAUGAGGUUAAAUCUUAUAAACUCA